rnacentral:rRNA from 1 species
UAACACGUGAGUAACCUGCCCCCGAGAGUGGGAUAGCCCUGGGAAACUGGGAUUAAUACCGCAUAGAAUCGCAAGAUUAAAGCAGCAAUGCGCUUGGGGAUGGGCUCGCGGCCUAUUAGUUAGUUGGUGAGGUAACGGCUCACCAAGGCGAUGACGGGUAGCCGGUCUGAGAGGAUGUCCGGCCACACUGGAACUGAGACACGGUCCAGACACCUACGGGUGGCAGCAGUCGAGAAUCAUUCACAAUGGGGGAAACCCUGAUGGUGCGACGCCGCGUGGGGGAAUGAAGGUCUUCGGAUUGUAAACCCCUGUCAUGUGGGAGCAAAUUAAAAAGAUAGUACCACAAGAGGAAGAGACGGCUAACUCUGUGCCAGCAGCCGCGGUAAUACAGAGGUCUCAAGCGUUGUUCGGAAUCACUGGGCGUAAAGCGUGCGUAGGCUGUUUCGUAAGUCGUGUGUGAAAGGCGCGGGCUCAACCCGCGGACGGCACAUGAUACUGCGAGACUAGAGUAAUGGAGGGGGAACCGGAAUUCUCGGUGUAGCAGUGAAAUGCGUAGAUAUCGAGAGGAACACUCGUGGCGAAGGCGGGUUCCUGGACAUUAACUGACGCUGAGGCACGAAGGCCAGGGGAGCGAAAGGGAUUAGAUACCCCUGUAGUCCUGGCAGUAAACGGUGCACGCUUGGUGU